rnacentral:rRNA from 1 species
GACAGAGGAUGCAAGCGUUAUCCGGAAUUAUUGGGCGUAAAGAGCUCGUAGGCGGUUUGUCGCGUCUGCCGUGAAAGUCCGGGGCUCAACCCCGGGCCUGCAGUCGAUACGGGCAAACUAGAGUGUGGUAGGGGAGACUGGAAUUCCUGGUGUAGCGGUGAAAUGCGCAGAUAUCAGGAGGAACACCGAUGGCGAAGGCAGGUCUCUGGGCAUUAACUGACGCUGAGGAGCGAAAGCAUGGGGAGCGAACAGG